GUUAGGAAUAUUGGACAAUGGGCGAAAGCCUGAUCCAGCCAUGCCGCGUGAACGAUGAAGGCCUUCGGGUUGUAAAGUUCUUUAGCCGAUGAUUAUAAUGACUGUAGUCGGAAAAUAAGCCCCGGCUAACUUCGUGCCAGCAGCCGCGGUAAUACGAAGGGGGCGAGCGUUAUUCGGAAUCACUGGGCGUAGAGCGUGCGUAGGCGGUUUUGUAAGUUAGGAGUGAAAGCCCAGGGCUCAACCUUGGAAUUGCUCUUAAAACUGCAAGGCUCGAAUCUCGGAGAGGAUAGCGGAAUUUCCAGUGUAGCAGUGAAAUGCGUAGAUAUUGGAAGGAACACCAGUGGCGUAAGCGGCUAUCUGGACGAGUAUUGACGCUGAGGCACGAAAGCGUGGGGAUCAAACAGGAUUAGAUACCCGAGUAGUCC
rnacentral:rRNA from 1 species